AGUGAACGCUGGCGGUAGGCCUAACACAUGCAAGUCGAACGGCAGCACAGUAAGAGCUUGCUCUUACGGGUGGCGAGUGGCGGACGGGUGAGGAAUACAUCGGAAUCUACUUUUUCGUGGGGGAUAACGUAGGGAAACUUACGCUAAUACCGCAUACGACCUACGGGUGAAAGCAGGGGAUCUUCGGACCUUGCGCGAUUGAAUGAGCCGAUGUCGGAUUAGCUAGUUGGCGGGGUAAAGGCCCACCAAGGCGACGAUCCGUAGCUGGUCUGAGAGGAUGAUCAGCCACACUGGAACUGAGACACGGUCCAGACUCCGACGGGAGGCAGCAGUGGGGAAUAUUGGACAAUGGGCGCAAGCCUGAUCCAGCCAUACCGCGUGGGUGAAGAAGGCCUUCGGGUUGUAAAGCCCUUUUGUUGGGAAAGAAAAGCAGCAGGUUAAUACCCCGCUGUUCUGACGGUACCCAAAUAAUAAGCACCGGCUAACUUAGUG
rnacentral:rRNA from 1 species